rnacentral:rRNA from 1 species
GAUCAUGGCUCAGGAUAAACGCUGGCGGCGCACAUAAGACAUGCAAGUCGAACGGAAGUCGUUGUAAUGAAAUGGAAAUGGACAGAGAACUUGUUCGAAGAAAGUUGAAGUAGACUUACAACAAUGGCUUUAGUGGCGGACUGGUGAGUAACGCGUAAGGAACCUGCCUUUUAGUAGGGGAAGUAAACAAAUGAGAAAUACAUUGCUAAUAACCGCCAUAUGCCGACGAGAAUACACAUGGUACGAAUACGGG